rnacentral:rRNA from 1 species
UACAGAGGGUGCGAGCGUUAAUCGGAAUUACUGGGCGUAAAGCGUGCGUAGACGGUAGCGUAAGUCAGAUGUGAAAGCCCCGGGCUCAACCUGGGAAUUGCAUUUGAGACUGCUCUGCUCGGGUGCGGAAGAGGGAAGCGGAAUUUCCGGUGUAGCGGUGAAAUGCGUAGAUAUCGGAAGGAACACCAGUGGCGAAAGCGGCUUCCUGGUCCGACACCGACGUUCAGGCACGAAAAGCGUGGGGAGCAAACAGGG